rnacentral:rRNA from 1 species
AACUGAAGGGAAUGCUUAGUGGCGGACGGGUGAGUAACGCGUGAGGAACCUGCCUUUCAGUGGGGGAUAACACAUCGAAAGAUGUGCUAAUACCGCAUAACAUAGCGAUGGGGCAUCCCAUUGCUAUCAAAGAUUUAUUGCUGAAAGAUGGCCUCGCGUCCAAUUAGCUAGUUGGUGAGGUAACGGCCCACCAAGGCGACGAUCAGUAGCCGGACUGAGAGGUUGAACGGCCACAUUGGGACUGAGAUACGGCCCAGACUCC